UUGUGUAUGUGUAUAGUGUGUUUGUGGUGCAGGUGUAUAGUUUAGGUAUAUGGUGCAGGUAUAUAGUGUGUUUAUGGUGCAGGUGUGUAGUGUAGGUAUAAAUUAACGGAGACGGUGAAGGUAAGUGGACCAAUAACUGGUGCUGCUUAAUAAUGUAAACUACUGGAGGAAAUUGUCAAUGGAACAAUGUUAAGGAAAUAGUUUGAGGUAUUUUAUUACUUUCGUGUUGAGUAUUUGUUACUUUUAGGUUUUAUAAGUUUUGUUACUUGUGGAGUUUACGUCACUUACGUUUGGGAAUUGUUACUUUUCUGUAGUUUAUUACUUUUAGGAUAAUUUUAUGAUAAUUUUGUCAAGUUACUUUUGUUAUAUUUUAGUGGACACUGUUUGUGGUAAUGUUAGUAAAAUGGAUGUUUUUUAAAUAAACGCUACAUAACAUUUGUGGUUAUGAAGGACAGACCUAACCAAACAAACCUACCUAACCUAACUUCCCCGGUAUAUUAAACAGAAAAAACUUACUAUACGGUGAUAUUUGAGACAUUUUCUGUACGUGAGAUGAUACAACAGCAUCGGCACUAUGCAGCCCUGGCUGGUGAUGGCUCCAAUUGGUUGUUACUGUAGUGUUAAGACAACUAUCAUAUUGCUGCCCUGCUAAUCAUGGUCAAUGAAGUUCCUCGUGUCAUUCAUCGAGGACUGUGACGUGAAGAUGUAAGAUGUGGGCCACAAUGACCACAAGACGAAGGUUUGUUUUGGUUAACGGGUCUCUUGCUGCACCACAUUGGAAACUUUCUGCUAUAACAUAAGGAACAUUCCACAACAAUAUUGAUCAUAGUUCAAGUUAGUGAUCAAAUAUUACAGGUUAUACCUACUAAUUCUGCCGUGAGUAUUGUCCAGUGAAUUGUUCUUAUAAUGGACUUGCGUAAGUGGUUUAUUCCACAUUGAUAAAGGUUCAUAUAGGUGGAUAGUGGAGUGUUGACCCACGUUAGCCUCCAAUAUGGGGGGGGGGGGGUUAAGGUUGUCACCAGGGAAGGUCGCUAAAGGUUCUUAAAUAUCUUCAGUGAUCCCUCAAUUAACGAACACAAUUGGUUCCACAGAGUCGUUCGUUAACUGAAUCUAUAUACUGUAGUGUUAUAUAUUAAUAAAAUAUUAAUAAAUAAAAUGUUAUUCUUUAAAUUUAUUUUAGUAAAAUUGUAAAUGCUGUCAAGCUAUACGGUUCUCAAACCACUGACUUAAGUUUAGUUUAAUGUUAAUAUAUAUCUAUUAGCGGGAAUUUAAUCAUUAAUAAAACAUUAUAAUUAAAGGAUAAUUUAUUUGUAUUGUGUAAUAUUUAUUAAUAAAAUACUUUUAUUAUAGUAUUAAUAAUGAAAACUUGUAAUAACUGAAAGAUAAGAGAAAGAGCCAGACAAGGUGUAGAGGUCGACAACAACCAACUUGGCUGGCUUGUUUAUUUUUGUUAAUUAUGUUAGUAAAUGUAAAUUUGUGGGCUUUCCUCCCUUCCUCUUGGUAAAGGUAAUAAAUGUUUUAUUUAUGUCGUUGUUAUAAACAUACAUUUGAAUGAGUGAGUUAAAGGUUGGUUAUCCGAGAUGGUCCGAGUUGGUAUUUGAUGGGCCGAGUUGGAGGCGCAGUGGUCACACUAUAAUAAACUGUUCUAGUACAUCCUUUUUUACUCACACAGCCAAACUGUGUCUGUGUGGAUGUCGGUCACACUAUAAUAACCCGUUA